AUCCUUUUUUUUUUUGGUUCAUAAGCAUGAUGAUUAGGUGUUCACGCGACUUUGUGACAUGUGCUGCCCUCAGACCUUGUCACACACCGGCACAUUACCCAUCUGACG